rnacentral:rRNA from 1 species
CAGUCGCCACGGUAAUGCGUAGGUGGCAAGCGUUGUCCGGAAUUAUUGGGUGUAAAGGGCUCGCAGGCGGUUUCUUAAGUCUGAUGUGAAAGCCCCCGGCUCAACCGGGGAGGGUCAUUGGAAACUGGGAAACUUGAGUGCAGAAGAGGAGAGUGGAAUUCCACGUGUAGCGGUGAAAUGCGUAGAGAUGUGGAGGAACACCAGUGGCGAAGGCGACUCUCUGGUCUGUAACUGACGCUGAGGAGCGAAAGCGUGGGGAGCGAACAGGAUUAGAUACCCCAGUAGUCCCUGUCUCUUAUAC